CAAGAGCACCUAGUGAGUGGAGAAGCCCACCAAUUUAGCUUAGGGUUUACACAUUUUAAUUCAUUCAUCACUUUCCUCUCAAGAACCCUAAGGAAGCCACCAUUGGAGAAAAGCUUGACUAGUAGCUUUGACUUCAUUUUUGGUGCCCUUUCACUCACCUUAGAACUUUGAACUUGGAAUACUUUUUGUUCCCCUCAUCCUCCUCUUCAAAACCCUUGAAGGAUCUAGCCUAACUCCUAGUUUUACUUUGGUAUCUAGAGAUUCAAUUCUCUAGUGAGUUGAAGGUAGCAAGCUGAAAAAUCUGUUUUGCGGACCGAAAAUUUGGGGCGAUUUCAUUUCGGUGGUAAUUGGGAUUUUCAUUCCAAUAGAGAUCACGGGAAGGAGGUGGUGGAUGACAUUCCUCCACAAGCAUGAGGAGGAAACUUAAAGUGUGUUUUAUAACCAUUUUAUAGACUUGGGCCAUUUUUUUUUGUAUAGUAACAUUUUAACAUAUAUUAAGAGUGUUUAGCAUGGCCUUGUAAAUCCAACUAUGAGCCUUUGGCUCUAUUUUGAUGUAAAUUUGGACAAAAUGUUAGACUGUGUAAUAUAUCUUAUUUGAAUGUG